rnacentral:lncRNA from 1 species
GCCUAGACUGUGAAAGUAGAGAGAACGAAGCUGAGCAGCAGACAUGGAUGCAGUCAGGGUUUCCCUGCCCUGCCUGUGGGUGUGAUGUGGCUACCCAUUGAAGUCCUGCUAUUGUGACCUGCCCUGGAGUGCUAGGCUGUAACUUGGAAUUGUUAACUAAAAUAAACCCUCUGUCCCAAGGUUGUUUUACCACCACAACAGGAACAUAACCAAGACAGAUGAUAUUUUAUAACAUGAGAAAGAUCUUGACAUUUUCAGGAACUUUUAUAAAAGAAAAAAAAAACAAUUAAGUGCUUCUUCUCAUUUGUCCCUUUUGCUAUUUAAGCUUUGACUUAUUUUUCACAUAAAAAAAUUCAGUUCAUUAUAAGGCUGUUUUAAAUAAAACUGGAGAUACAGUCCUUUUAUGUAAAUACACUUACUUGCUGGGCUUUGCCCUGUGCAUUGUGUUUAUAUACUUCCUACCUUUAGCAUUUCCAUGCUCUCUGCGAUGGAUAACCAGAUAACACCCUCAUUGUAGCAGGGAAGUCCUUUGCUUUUACAGAUGCACUUGACCAUUCCCUCUGUGCCUUGGACUUCUGCUCCAACACUCCUAUGUAUUUCUGAGUCACGUCUUGCUUUUAAAACUUGUCAUCCACAGGUGCAACUUGUUACCCCUGAAAUUUUUGCACUUAACUGGAAUCUUGUGGUACAAACUAUUGAGUGCUCGUCUCUGCUCUCCUUCCUUUCUUCCUGUGUUCUUUAUGUGACUGAAGACGUGGGUGGUUGCUUUGGGUAUUGCGGAUUUUGUUUUAGUACUCCUUCCCUUUAAUUCAAGCAUUUAUGAUGGGUGAGCAGUGUUGAUUCAUAGGAGACUGUGCUAUACAGCGUAAGACACUAGAGGAAAGAACUUGGAAACAGGAUUUCUUGCCAGUGCUCUGUUUCUCUCCUCCUUUCUAGACAGUCUUAAGCUCCUUAUGUUUUAGGCAUGUAUAUAAGCUCAAAGUUGCCCAUUUGUGUGAUGAUUCCUAGCUCAAUUUAGAGCUCCUAAUAUUUCUCCUAAAACCUGAUUUCCUGUAUCUCACCCCCAGUUUCUCCCAUCCACUGAAUGGUAUUUGCAUUUCCUUGUUGCUCAGACUCUUACUUUGGAGCCAUCUUUGAGUCCUGUCUCCUCUCAUAUUUAGCAUUUAUCCCAUCAGCUUUGUACAGCCUCCACUUCUUCACUGCUUGCACAGUGGCCUCCUGACUCAUCUUCCUGCAUACACUCUUACCUUUCACAGGAAACUUAAAUGAAUGUGCUUGCCUCUUUGGACAAAGCCCUUCAAUGGAUUCUGGUUGUUCUGGAAUAAAAUCUGUAUUCUCAUUGCCUGCAGGACCAGACACAUUGGUUCCUGCUCCUUCUCUGCCUGUGUCUCCUGCCAUUCUCCUUACAUGCUCAGCUCUAGCUUUACUAGCCACUUUGUUUUUCUUAAGAUUAUCAUUAUCAUUGUUUCUGUUUGAAAUGCUUAGGCUCCAAAAUAUAUCCCCAACUUGCACUUACGUAUGUCUGUGGAGAGACCUUGACCACUGAUCUCGCAUCUAAUCCCUGUCUCUCAUUUCAUACUCUAAUGAUUCUCUCCUCUUUGCCCCUGACCUUGCUUUAGUUUUUUCUGCCCCCUAGACACCUGCCAUUUCCUCAUUUGUGUAGUAGCAGCAGUCUACCCUGCCUCUCCCUAGAGUAGAAAUUGAACAAGGACAUAGAAUUUUCUGACUCAUCUGCUGUAAGACAUGAUAACACUCGAAAUUUGAAUGACUGAAGGUAUAAAUAUAUUUAACCUUAAGAUGGAUCAUUUUGCAUUUCUAUGCUUUGAUUCCAUAAGUAUAAAAUGAAGGGCUUAUUCAAAGUCCAAGAGCAUUUAUUUUAACCUCAGAUGAUCAUUCCCUUAUAGUUGUAAGUUCAAGGCAUUUAACUUUUUAAGUGAUUUUUUUGAAGACACAUUGCUCAGGCCAGUACUUGGCAGUCACAACACUCUAGGAACUGUGUGAUCUCUGAUGUCCUCUCUCCCAGUGUACUUUCUUGUUUACAAUUUUCCCAGCUCUGUUUUCUAAAGUUACUAUACAUUAUCUACUUCUUUGUAUUAUUAUUUGAAUUUCUUCAUUAUUAUUAUUAUUACUUAUGUGAAUGAAUGUUUUUGCUGCAUGUCUGUCUGUCUGCAUGUAUGCCUAGUGCCCAGGGAGGCCAGAAAAGGGCAUCUGAUCCCCAAGAACUGGAGUUAUAUAUAGAUUGUUGCAAUUCACCAUGUGGGUGCUAGGAAUCAAACCAGGCCCUUUGGAAAAACAGUGCUCUUAACUUCUGAGGCAUCUUUCCAGCCCCUCUCUGUAUUACAGAAUUAAAUUGCCUCUCUACAUUUAAAAUAUUUUUUUCUGAUUAGUUCUCAUUUGACAUUCAUUGAAUAUAAACAAAUGUGAUUUGAAGCCUAUUUCUUAGCUUGCUCUGUAGAGAUUCCUCUUCCCAACUCUCUCCAGUUACUGACCACCCUGGUUAAUGCAAGUGUUAAUUGGUUUGAUGGAUUUUUAAAUCAUGGAGAAGAAAACAAAAUUAGAUGUAAAUUUUAGUCUCUCAUUUUACUGCAAAGUGUUUCCAGCCAGGGUGUGGUGGUGCACAUCUGUAGUCUUGGUGCUUGGGAAGUUGAGGCAGGAGAAACAAUAGCUUAAGACCAAGCACACACAGCAGCUCACCCUGUACUAUGCACCCGGAAGUAGAGGAAGAAGACUGCCACAAGUUCAAGACCACCUUGUCUCUAAAAACAGAAGCGAAGUGGUGGAGUCAAAGUGCAGGAGAAUGAAUGUGUGCUGGUUCAAGAGCAACCCAUAUUAAAAGACAUUGUUUCAGAACAGAAAAAUAAAAAAACUUCUGAGAUGAAUAGGCUCAUAGACAUAGGACAAAGCCUUGAAUGUGCCCUAACCAGCUAAGGAC